rnacentral:rRNA from 1 species
UACGUAGGCAGCAAGCGUUGUUCGGAAUUACUGGGCGUAAAGCGAGUGUAGGCGGUUUGCCGUGUCUGCUGUGAAAUCUCCCGGCUCAACUGGGAGGGUGCGGCGGAAACUGGCAGGCUAGAGUGCGGAAGAGGAAAGUGGAAUUCCUGGUGUAGCGGUGAAAUGCGUAGAUAUCAGGAGGAACACCGGUGGUGAAGACGGCUUUCUGGACCGCCACUGACGCUGAGACUCGAAAGCGUGGGGAGCAAACAGGAUUAGAAACCCCCGUAGUCC